rnacentral:rRNA from 1 species
UACGUAGGGGGCGAGCGUUGUCCGGAUUUAUUGGGCGUAAAGAGCGUGUAGGCGGCCAGACAGGUCAGCUGUGAAAACUCGAGGCUCAACCUCGAGACGUCGGUUGAAACCGUCUGGCUAGAGUCCGGAAGAGGAGAGUGGAAUUCCCGGUGUAGCGGUGAAAUGCGCAGAUAUCGGGAGGAACACCUGUGGCGAAAGCGGCUCACUGGACCACAACUGACGCUGAGGCGCGAAAGCUAGGGGAGCAAACAGG